AUAAUACAGGAGUUUCUACGAUCAUUAAAGAAAAUGUUAAAAGAAGCAGACAUCAACAUCCAGACAGAAAAGAAGAGAUCGUGUAACUUCAACCUCGGCUUCCACUGUCAGACGGACGAGUACUCCAACAUCGCCGAUAUGUACGACUUCCUCAACAGCGCCAUGAGUCCCGGCAAGCGGCGCAAGAGGUCGCAGCUGAAAAACUAGCCCACACAAACACCAAUGAGUGUUCCUCCAUGGACGUUCACAUGAAGUACAAAAUGUCGGAACAUUUCUAUGUGAUCAGACAUCUCCAUGACUUGAAUGGGACGAUAGACGUCGAACCAGCAAUAUUCCUUAACGUGGAUAUUUUAAUUCUUAGGUACAUCUUCUAGGGUUGGGUUUAGGCUAGGGUCUAGAUAUAACGGCAGGGUGAAAGAAUGGGGCUUAGAACGUGCGUAAAACAUAUACAAUGACAUUAUAGAACGAACAUGUACAAUGACAUUAUAGUUCACAUACCGUUGACGUCAUCAGUUCUUAACGGAAGCAAUGUUGGGUGUGUCUUCCUUACAUGUUUGUUUAUUUAUGUAUUUAUUUAUCAAGUGCAAUUUAUCGGAAACACAAAGCAGGUACACAAAAUACUAGAAUGGAAACAUUCAUUAGAUCUGAAAUUGUUUGUAGCUCCUUAACAUUCACCGAACAAUGUUUAUUAAGCCUAGUGCUUGUAUGUACAUUUACAAUAAAGAAAUUGCAUACUUCAAGAUGAAA